GUAAAUCCAAAAAAAAAUUCUUACUUUUUACAACACGUUCUACGUCAAUUUACUAUUCCAAAAUACAUUCAAAAUAACGUGGCUCACACACACACUUCAUAUAAUUCUUCAGUCUAGAAAUUACAGAGAACGACCCUAUUUAUAGUGGAUGUCUGACUUUUAGUUAUUGAAGUCAGUAGAGACAUUGGGACAGUGGUUUCCUUGUUUGUCUUUUGCAGCCUGCUCCAGGCAUGAGAGAUGUUCCAAAGCUCUCCCCGGUAGUUGUUCAUCGCGCUCAUACUGAACCUCUCUCUGGUUUGGCAUUCACCCAAGAAUCCAUUCUCACAGUUGGCCGAGAGGGCCACAUAAAAAUCUGGAUGAGACCAGAACAAAGUUUGCUGAAAACCAAUCAAGUAACUCUGAUUCUUUGAUGAGCACGAG
rnacentral:lncRNA from 1 species